GAAGCUUUACUUUUAUGGAAGAGAGAAAUGACUCAAGCACUCUUUGUGUUAACUAAGAGGAAUGGUGAAAGUUUGAAGAUAACUGGAUCAAGUUCAGAGCACAGUUUCUAACAAGAUAUGAAGUGAAAAGAAAUCAAAUAUGUAUUUUAUUCUGUUGAGCUGUCCAGUGUCUACCAGACAAAUGUGUACUUUCAUCAGAGAAGCAAGCAGCAAUUACAUGGAGAGACUGAAGAUUUCAAGCUGAUUCUUCUACGGGGCUCCUAAAGCACUAUAGACAGCAUUACUCAUUCCUCCCUCCCUCCUUCUACCCCCCCCCAGCUGCCCAGCUGCCCACCAUACUAUUUAAAAGCUUCUUUCUCAAUAUAUUUUUUGCAACAGUUCUUUUCUGGCUCCAUCAUCAAGGCUUUGUGGGAAACACUUCAGGCAACGCCUCCCACACACCAAGCACAUAAAUAUUUAUUAGGUUUUUUUGUUUGUAUCCAUUCUCUUCUGUUCAAUCUGUGCUGUUUUUCAUCCAGGACACUCUGACUUUUUGAUUGUUUUAUUUAAAUGGAAGGAGAUAGGGUUAGAGUCAUAUACUAUUUUUCCUCUUCUCUCCACUACCCUCCAUCCCCCAAGGAUCUUUUAGAGUUAUUCUUAUCCUUGAGUAAGCCUUCAGGGCACGAAAUCCCCAUGACCUUGGCCAAAUUCUGUGCCAAACACAUACCUUAUAUAACUCUAGAA